UAUACUAAAUUGGACUAUUUCACGGAGCUGUUGAAGUUCUUCUCAUUACUUAAGCACUGAUUGCAGAUUGUGCAGAAGAUUUGCUGAAUGGAGGAACGUGAGAUGCAACUGCCGCCUUGCGAGGAGCCGGUGCACUCGAAAUGUCUUAGCCAGGACUUGAUGACAUUCGUGGGUGGCACCUGAUAAAUGCUAAAGUGUUUCUUGAACAUUCUUUGGGCACUGCUAAUGGAAUCGUUAUUUCUAUAAUAGGCGCGUAUUAUAAACGCUCGAUGCACACCCGUCCACUGAUCCAUUGCGACUGAAUGCAGAAUAGAAUCCCAAAAAUCCCAAUAUAUAAAAAAAAUACAUUGAAAUGACAGGCACAGGGGUAUUUCCGGUGCAUGAGUGACAUAAAAAAGUCGUGAAAUAUGAAUUAUACAAAAAUUUAAUUGGUCAUCUGCAGCGUCAUCUGCGUUUUCUAAAUAUAACAUAAAUAGAUUCGCGGCGAACGUGGCGUAUGAGCAAUGCGAUAUAUUCCCAUCAAUCAGUUGAAGAAAGUCAUCAUCAUUACGCUUCAUUCACCACAAGCAACACUAAUACAGCCAUCAUCAAAAUGGGCGUGGCGUGUCGAGGUGUGGGCAACGAAAUGGGCAGCGAAUGGGGGCGAUGAGUGGAAAUGUUUGCGCGGCACUAAAUCUCCAACUUGAACUCAUUUAAAGUUUUCCAAGAAGCUAAAUCCGCAUUGGCAUUUCGCCAUCAUGUUAGUAGUUGGCUAUCGUCAAAGUCCUUAAACGCUUUUCCUGGUAUCAUUCCGUAUACACUCUACUAAGGCUUCAACAACUGAUUGAUUGAUGGCACUGUCCUACUGAAAUUGAGUAGCAAUAUAAAUUAUUGGGUCUACAGGCUGGCCUUCAAUGAAGAUUUAAAGUCCUCAACUUUCUUUAUCGAAUUUC